rnacentral:tRNA from 1 species
GAAGAAUUAGUUAAACUUAUAACACAUGCUUGUCAAGCCUGAGUUACUGCCCAGACAGUAGUAUUCUUCG